rnacentral:rRNA from 1 species
AGUGAACGCUGGCGGUAGGCCUAACACAUGCAAGUCGAACGGCAGCACAGUAAGAGCUUGCUCUUACGGGUGGCGAGUGGCGGACGGGUGAGGAAUACAUCGGAAUCUACUUUUUCGUGGGGGAUAACGUAGGGAAACUUACGCUAAUACCGCAUACGACCUACGGGUGAAAGCAGGGGAUCUUCGGACCUUGCGCGAUUGAAUGAGCCGAUGUCGGAUUAGCUAGUUGGCGGGGUAAAGGCCCACCAAGGCGACGAUCCGUAGCUGGUCUGAGAGGAUGAUCCAGCAAAACUGAAACUGAGACACGUUCCAGACUCCUAGGGAAGGCAGCGGUGGGAAUAAUUGAACACGGGGCGAAAGCUUAAUCAGGCAAUCCGGCGUGGGUGAAGAGGGCCUUCGGUUGGUAAAGCCCUUUUGUUGGGAAAAAAAGCAACCGGGUUAAACCCCGCUGUUCUGACGGUACCCAAAGAAUAAGCACCGGCUAACUUCGUG